rnacentral:lncRNA from 1 species
UUGCCCAGGCUGGCAUGCAGUGGCACGAUCUUGGCUCACCUCAACCUCUGCCUCCCAGGUUCAAGCGAUUCUCUUACCUCAGUCUCCUGAGUAGCUGUGAUUAUAGCUGUGUGCCACCACGCCCAGGCAAUUUUUGUAUUUUUAGUAGAGACAGGGUUGCACCAUGUUGGCCAGGCUGGUCUCGAACUCCUGGCCUCAAGCAAUCCACCCACCUCAGCCUCCCAGAGUGCUGGGAUUACAGGUGUGAGCUACCACGCCCAGCCUUGGAUUAUCUCAUUUAUUUUGAAUGUUUGCAAUAAUUUAUUUUCUUCAAGCAAAUUAGUUACCCCCAAAAAUAUCCUGCCUCCCAGACCUUUGCUCUGCCUGAUAGCAGCUGUCAAAAAGAUAAGAUCUUUCAAUGAAUUAAAGAAGGUGAAAGGCCAAUCCCCUCAACUCAUCUCGCUGUGAUUUACAUCAGUAUAAUUACAUCGUCUAUUGCUGUUGGAAAUUGACUAUACCUACGGGAAAUGCUACUGGUAUAAAGGAAGUUUCUUUUUUAAUCACUACAGAACACAGACCUGCAACUCUAUUUCUGGACCAAUCUCAUAUAUGUGCUUUGAAAUACACCGGACAAAAGGACACAGCCAAGGAGUGCAGCUUGCUUAUGUUAGCACAAAGCUGGAAACAAUCUGAAUACAAUUGUUAUAAAAAUAGUUAAUAACUUAUGAUACAGCAGCAUGCUGUGCAGCAGUAAAGAAUGAAGUUGAUCUAUAAUUCAGUGACACAAAAUUCUUCCAGACUUUACACAAUUUUUUUAAAAAGGCAAGUUGCAGAAUUAUAAGGCACAGCACAAAACUAUUGAG